rnacentral:rRNA from 1 species
GACGAACGCUGGCGGCGUGCUUAACACAUGCAAGUCGAGCGGUAAGGCCCUUUCGGGGUACGACGAGCGGCGAACGGGUGAGUAACACGUGGGUGACCUGCCCUCCAGCUCUGGGAGUAAGCCUCGGGAAACCGGGUACUAAUACUGGAUAUGACUCCAUGACGCAUGUUGUGGGGUGGAAAGCCUUGUGCGGCUGAGGAUGGGCCCGGCCGGCCUAUCAGCUUGUUGGGUGGGGUGGAGGCCUACCAAGGCGACGACGGGUAGCCGGCCUGAGAGGGCGACCGGCCACACUGGGACUGAGACACGGCCCAGACUCCUACGGGAGGCAGCAGUGGGGAAUCUUGCGCAAGUGGGCGAAAGCCUGACGCAGCGACGCCGCGU